ACUUGUUCAGCUUGUGUCCGUUGCUGCUUUGCUCUGUUCCACCUUGCACUGGAUGGCUUGCACUGCAUUUAAAGCGCUGUUCACAAUAGCGAUGACUAGGAACUAAUCCAAAUGCCCAACAAUGAUAGACUGGAUCAAGAAAAUAUGGCAC
rnacentral:lncRNA from 1 species